GCGCAUUUUGUUUUAAAUCAGAGAUUGAACCCAGGGGCGCUUUGCCGCUAAGCCACAUCCUCAGCCCCUUUUAAUAUUUUUUAUUAAAGAGAGGUUCUCGCUGAGUUGCUUAGGGCCUUGCUAAACUGCGAAGUCUGGCUUUGGACUCGUGAUCCUCCUGCCUCAGCCUCCGGAGCUGCUGGGAUUACAGUCGUGCUCACUGCGUGUUUUAAAAACACCUGUAAGUGAAGGCCGUAUGAGCCACAGGGGCGCCUUUGUGGACAACCGCCCCACCAGAGGGUCUCCUGUGCUCUCUCCACGCCAGCGGGACACCUGACCCCACCUGAACCGUAGAGAUCAUUACCAGAAACAGCAGUGAAGCCAGAUUUAAAGUUAGGUAGUCAGUGUAGUUAGGUAAAUCGGGUCUAAUAUCGAGUGAGACCUAAAAUGGAGGCCAUGUUGAGAAUGAAUUCCGGGAAAAGUUGAACAACUCUUGGAAUGUUCAUGAAGUCCGGGAAAAGCCCAAGGCCAGAGCCCAUCCCAAAGAAGUGUUAAUGAACAGCCCCUGCAAACUUGAAGAUGCUGACUCAGAAGUCCUUCCUGCCCAGAUCACUUCUUUGACCCACCUGUGUCCCACCCCUCGGGCCUUCCCACCUACAUUCCAUCACUGAAAGAACUAUAAAAAGGGGGGAAAACCGCACUUCCACGGAUUCCAUCUCUUGGGUCCCCUUCUUCCUCCGGGAGAAGUCUUUUCUGCUGUCCAAUAAACUUCUAAUUUCUACUCUGACCUUACCUAGGCGUGCUUCUCUAGUGUUAUACUUCAACAUUGGAGAAGCAAGGACUCGUCACCUGGUCAACAGCGGUAACAGUAGCACCCCAAAGUAGAUGAGUUUACAACCAUGCUAUGGUUUGAAUGUUUUUCUCUUGUCCCACUAAAAUUCAUUUUGAAAUUUAAUCCCUUUUGGCUCGCCCAGCACCCCUGGGAGGCUGAGGCUGGAGGAUCACAAGUUCCAGGCCAGCCUAGACAGUUUAUUGAGGCUCUAAGCAAUUUAGUGAGACCUGUCUGAAAAUAAAAAAAGACUGAGGAUGUGGGUCAGUGGUUAAGCUCCCCUGGGUUCCAUCCCCGUUACCAAAGGAAAGGGGGGAAAAAACAAGGAGAAGAAAGAAAUGUAAUUCCCACUGUGGUACUAUGUUAGAGUCUGUAAACAAGUCAAAAAUAACACCUGGCAUUUUGCCAGGGGAAUGUUAGAGUUCCUAAACAAGUCUGGAUGGUGCCUGGCAAAAUGCCAGAGGGAGUGGUUUGAGAAGUAACAAAAGCGAGCCAUUAAGUGUGGAGAUUCCUUAUUGGUUGACUGAUGUAUCUAGUUUAUGCUAAUUAGAUAAGCUGUGUGGAAUGUAUAAAUACUGCUCCUGUCCUGCAAUAAAGGGCUCC
rnacentral:lncRNA from 1 species